UAGGGAAUCUUCGGCAAUGGGGGCAACCCUGACCGAGCAACGCCGCGUGAGUGAAGAAGGUUUUCGGAUCGUAAAGCUCUGUUGUAAGAGAAGAACGUGUGUGAGAGUGGAAAGUUCACACAGUGACGGUAACUUACCAGAAAGGGACGGCUAACUACGUGCCAGCAGCCGCGGUAAUACGAAGGUCCCGAGCGUUGUCCGGAUUUAUUGGGCGUAAAGCGAGCGCAGGCGGUUUAAUAAGUCUGAAGUUAAAGGCAGUGGCUUAACCAUUGUUCGCUUUGGAAACUGUUAAACUUGAGUGCAGAAGGGGAGAGUGGAAUUCCAUGUGUAGCGGUGAAAUGCGUAGAUAUAUGGAGGAACACCGGUGGCGAAAGCGGCUCUCUGGUCUGUAACUGACGCUGAGGCUCGAAAGCGUGGGGAGCAAACAGG
rnacentral:rRNA from 1 species